rnacentral:rRNA from 1 species
UACAGAGGGUGCGAGCGUUAUUCGGAUUUACUGGGCGUAAAGAGCGCGCAGGCGGUUUAUCAAGUCAGAUGUGAAAUAUCCCGGCUUAACCGGGAGGGGUCAUUUGAAACUGGUAGACUAGAGUACAGCAGAGGAUAGCGGAAUUCCCGGUGUAGUGGUGAAAUGCGUAGAUAUCGGGAGGAACACCAGUGGCGAAGGCGGCUAUCUGGGCUGAAACUGACGCUGAGGCGCGAAGGCUAGGGGAGCAAACAGG